UGUUACCCCCACCAUACAUUCUCUUUAUUUAAAGGGUACGCUAUUAUAUUUCAAUAGUAUUAUUAUAUUAAGGUUGUAUAAUUGAUAUUUUUGUAAAGAAAACCAUAUAUAUUAUUUUUGUUAAUGGAAGGAUUCAUUUAAGUUCUGAAAAUUAUGCAUGUAUAGAUUAAGAAGGACUGUAUAAGUGUAAUAUAUGUGAUCUGAGUAGACUUUAAAAUUCAAAGUAUAUACAGUGCUAAAUCCUGAAAACAUAGCUAUAAUCAUAGAGAGAGAGAUCGAGAUCAGAGAGGAGUGCCAUACAGCAGCCUGAAAGAGUAUUUGAUUAUCGUGAAAUAUCUGAGGUAAGAAAGAACAUUCCACUAUAAUAAUAUAAUUAAUAAAGUCAUGAACUACUGUACAAUUGAUUUACAGAAGAAAAGAAAGUAACUAUUUGAGAUUAAACUGUAAAUUAGAGAUAAAGAGUAUAUCUUCACAGCUCGAGGCUGGCACAUGGCACAUGGCUCUUGAAUAACAUCCGAUGUGUCUCUCUUGUUUAUAAGAAUUUAAAACCCAUUCAAAGAGAGUGUUUUUUUUUGUUUUUGUUUUUUGUUUUGUUUUAUUUUUUUAUGGUUUGUUUGGUUCUUCUGAAGUUGUGAUUUAUGCGUCCCUGGGGCUGUGAACAAGAAUGAAAGAGCCCAGGACAUUGAUGAAGACAAGGAAAGAAGACACCUGAGAAGAACCAGAAGAAUAAAAGUGACAGGUUGGAAUACAACCAUUUGGGACAUUUAUUUUUGUAGAUGAAAGUUUAUUUUACUGUAGAAAUGUAAUGAUCUUCAACUCAAUAUAUCAACAACAAAUGUAAACUUA